rnacentral:tRNA from 2 species
GCCGGAGUGGCGAAAUGGCAGACGCAGCGGACUUAAAAUCCGCCGAGGGGUUUCUCUUGUACGGGUUCGAGUCCCGUCUCCGGCACCA